rnacentral:rRNA from 1 species
GUGAACGCUGGCGGCGUGCUUAACACAUGCAAGUCGAACGAUGAAGUCCUUCGGGAUGGAUUAGUGGCGCACGGGUGAGUAAUAUAUAGUUAAUGUGCCUCGAAGACUGGGAUAGCCCCUGGAAACGGUGAUUAAUACUAGAUACACCUCUCUAACAUAAGUUAGAGUGGGAAAUGUUUUUUCGCUUCGAGAUCAGACUAUAUCCUAUCAGUUAGUUGGUGAGGUAAAGGCUCACCAAGGCAAUGACGGGUAGCGGGUCUGAGAGGAUGAUCCGCCACACUGGUACUGAGACACGGACCAGACUCCUACGGGAGGCAGCAGUGAGGAAUAUUGCACAAUGGGGGAAACCCUGAUGCAGCAACGCCGCGUGGAGGAUGACGCAUUUCGGUGUGUAAACUCCUUUUAUAUGUCAAGAAAAUGACGGUAGCAGAUGAAUAAGCACCGGCUAACUCCGU